rnacentral:rRNA from 1 species
CAAUAGCGUAUAUUAAAGUUGUUGCAGUUAAAAAGCUCGUAGUUGGAUUUCUGGUAGGAGCGACCGUGCCGAACUUGAUUGUUCGAGUAUUGUGUUGUCUUCAGCCAUCCUCGUGGAGAACUUUUCUAACAUUAACUUGUUGGGAUUGGGACCCGCGUCGUUUACUGUGAAAAAAUUAGAGUGUUUAAAGCAGGCAUUAGCUUGAAUACAUUAGCAUGGAAAAAUAAGAUAGGACUUUGGUACUAUUUUGUUGGUUUGCAUACCAAAUUAAUGAUCAACAGGAACAGUUUGAGGAUAUUCGUAUGAACAUGUCAGAGGUGAAAUUCUUGGAUUUUGAUCAGACGAACUACUGCGAAAGCAUUUAUCAAGGAUGUUUUCAUUAA